UGUGUCCAAUCAAGUUUCGUACUUGGACAUUUUGUAUCAUAUAUGUCUGCUUUGUUUCCAAGUUUUGUUGCCAAGAGAUCAGUGGGUAAACUUCCUCUUGUUGGCCUCAUUAGGAGCUCUCCGGGCUUAAGAAUACUCUGAAUUUUGAAGUUGAGCAGCUCCGUG